rnacentral:rRNA from 1 species
GACGAACGCUGGCGGCGUGCUUAACACAUGCAAGUCGAACGGAAAGGCCUCUUUCGGGGGGUACUCGCGUGGCGAACGGGUGAGUGACACACGAGUAACCUGCCCUUGUCUUUGGGAUAACUUCCGGAGACAGGGGCUAAUACAGGAUAGGAGAUCUUGCUGCACGGUGGGGGUUGGAAAGAUUCGGCGGUUGGGGAUUGGCUCGCGGGUUAUCAGCUUGUUGGUGGGGUUGUGGGUUACCAAGGCUUUGACGGGGAGGCGGCCUGGGGGGGUGACCGGCCAACUUGGGACCGAGGUACGGCCCAGGCUGCUACUGGGGGGAAGAGGGGGGAAUACUGCACAAUGGGUGGAAGGCUGGUGCAGCAACGCCGGGGGGCGGAAGACGGCCUUCGGGGUGGAAACCGCUUUUGCUCAUGACGAAGCUGUGUGUGACGGUAGUGGGUAAAGAAGCACCGGCUAACUACGUG